UUCCGGUUGAUCCCGCCGGACCCCACUGCUAUCGAGAUGGGACUAAGGUAUGCUAGUCGAACGACCAGAACUAUGUCUGUGAGUGGCAUACCGCUCAGUAACACGUAGCUAACCUACCCUUCGGACGAGGACAACCCCGAGAAAUUGGGGCUAAUCCUCGAUAGAUGUGAUGUCCUGGAAUGGUAUCACGUCUAAAGGUAUAUCAUACACGUUUGAUAUACGCCUAAGGAUGGGGCUGCGGCUGAUCAGGCAGUUGGUGAGGUAAUGGCUCACCAAACCAUUGACCAGUACGGGCCAUGAGAGUGGUAGCCCGGAGAUGGACACUGAGACAAGGGUCCAGGCCCUACGGGGCGCAGCAGGCGCGAAACCUCCUCAAUGCACUAACGUGCGAAGGGGUUACCUCGAGUGCUAUCUGAUGAAGGUGGCUUUUCCAUGGUUUAAAAAGCCUAGGGAAUAAGAGGGGGGCAAGACUGGUGUCAGCCGCCGCGGUAACACCAGCCCCUCGAGUGGUGGGGAUGAUUAUUUGGCCUAAAGCGUCCGUAGCUUGCCAGAAAAGUUUCCCGUUAAAUCCGACGUCUCAAGCGUUGGACCGCGGGAAAUACUAUCUGGCUAGAGAGUGGGAGAGGUUAGCGGUAUUCUGGGGGGUAGGGGCG
rnacentral:rRNA from 1 species